rnacentral:lncRNA from 1 species
UUUUCAUUUAUUCAAAACACAGUUCCAACCGUGAAAAAUAGUUUCGAAGAUGAUGAAAUCGUUGUUUUAAAGUAAAACUAAUAAAUACAUUUUUAAACAUGUACAUUGUAGAUGCUAUCAUUAUAAGCAAUAUUUCCAAUAAAAAAAAUCUGCUUAGAAAACAAUAACCGAUUCAUUCAAUGAUAAAACUACAUCGAUUAUGUUGUAUGAUUACAAAAAAUAUUGAAAUCAUGAUUGUCAACUUGAGGGUAUCAAAGAGUUCUUCCCACAGGGUUGUACUAUUCAAACUUGAGAAAUGUUCUUGUUAAUUAUCCCCAUAUGUAUAGUCCUGCUGAUUAUCUUGGCAUCAAGAACAAUGAACAUUUUAGAGAGUUGUGGGGCAAAUGGUCGUUAUAUCAAAUUCCCCAACCCAUUCACUUCAUGUUACUGAUGACACCAGUUGACAAUGCAAAAAAAGGCGAUCCGGAUGAAUGAAAGCUGGAAACUUUAUCUAAAUAGAUCAAAGAUUAUCGGUCAUAGAUUCAACAUCCAAAAUUGGACAAGUUUAUGUUCGAAUGCAUCCCGCACGGCUAAGAGGAUAUGGAUGUGUGUUUGUACACAUAGUAUUGUUAAACAGUCACAACUAAGCAAAGUGUGUAAAGC